UAGGGAAGUGAUAGAAAAGAAGCCUGAAAAGUUCAAAAUCGAGUGUUUGAAUGAUAUCAAGAACUUGUUUGUGCCGAAUAAACAGCCUUUCUAUGCUGCUUUUGGAAACAGGCCCAAUGAUGUAUUCGCCUACACGAAAGUGGGAGUCCCAGACUGCAGAAUAUUUACAGUGAACCCAAAGGGUGAACUGAUCCAGGAACGGACAAAGGGAAACAAGUCCUCGUAUUUCAGGCUAAGUGAGCUUGUGGAACAUGUGUUCCCACUGCUCAAUAAAGAACAGAGUUCUGCUUUUGUGUGCCCGGAAUUCAGUUCCUUCUGCUAUUGGCGACAACCAUUUCCUGAGGUGAACAUGGAAGACCUAGCCUGAACAGCUCUGCUCACCUGGAGAUGGGAUUUUGUAUCCAGUCAUUCAACUUCAGUUUAAAUGUGAAGAGAGAACGUCUUUUCUGGAGAUGCUAAUUUAUACAUUGGUACCAUGAGUCUUACUUGAGACAAUACUUUAAGUCUAUGGGUUUGGCACAAACAAAGAAAAUGCAGAGUUUCUGUUUGUCCUUUGACUUUUUAAGGCAUUUGAGAUUCGCUUAUGUGAUAGCAGCAGUACUGAGAUACUAGAUGGCAACACAAAGGUGGAGUUUUUGCUGCAUCUUUGCCUUUCCA